GUCAAUUAAGAAGCUUCUUAGGCAAGAGUCUGGGCAAGAGGUGAUGAAGGCGUGAGCCUGGGCAGAGGGGGGCUACCCCAUUGGAACCUGGUCUCUAAUGGGAUGUGAUACACAAGAGAGGGACACAGACACACACCCAUGUUCACAGCAGCAUCAUUCACAACAGGCAAAAAAUGGAAGCCACCCAAGUAUCCACCAGCAGAUGAACAGACAAACAAGAUGUGGUAUACACACACAGUGGAACGUCACUCAGCUUUGGGAAGGAAAUUCUGACACAUGCUACAACAUGGAUAAAUCUUGAAAACAUUACGGCAUCAGUUGAGUUCCUAGCCUGUAUAUACCAGAUGCUGGGCCAACUGCUGGGGAUAAAGAUGCAAAGUCCCCAUUCUCCAGGACGGUCCCAUUAUACACCUUGCAAGAUGAGCCAAGUCAUGGAGAGGUGAACCUACAAGUCAAGUUAAUAAAAUAUACUGAUUCAUCGGCCCUGUAAAUAAGCCCAGUCUCCCCAAGGAACUACUGUGACAUGAAUGAAAUCAUCACUUUAUACUAGACAUGAUGCUUCUGGAACAGUGUUUGGUACACCAUUAACUCCCAAUAACUAUCUGUGGAAGUGAAUUUAAAUAAUCAGCUUUUUUCACACCUGCCACAUACUAUACCAUGUGGUUAAGAUUUCCAAUAACAAAGUUUGUAAGAAGGAUUUGAAGAGCAACCCUGAUCAAACACAGAAAAAGUUGUUUUACCCACGUUACACGCUGUACUAUCCUAAAAGACUAGGCCACUCUCUUCUUCCUGGACUUCACAAUCUGUCAAUUGCUUACACUGGUUAAGAACAUCAUCCCUCCCCAUUCUCAGGAGCCUACUAGCCAGAACCUGCCCAUCACUGGACACAAAAUCUGAAAAUGGCAUUUUCAAGUACUUUGUGGAGAAUAUGAUUUAAUGACACUGCUGACAACAGUCACUUUGAGUUGUGUGAUCACAAUAUGCAAAGUAUUUAAAUACAACCAGCUCAUUCCACUUAGACCUUUUCGAAAGAAAAUCGGGAAGUAAUGAACAAGAAGUGAAACGUUUAUCCCCCAAAUGAUCCGGAAUUCACAUAAAAGAAAAACUGGAUAUCGUAGAGAGGAUAGUAAUUCUGGGACUCCCAAUGGAUAACAACAAGCCGAAAUGACUUGAAACCAGCCGAUAUGAAUCCAGGAGAUGAUAAAGGAUACUUUGGGAAAUCUGCCUCCCAUUGAAGGUGGGUUGUUUUUUUUUUCCUCCAACAAUACUCUACAUAACGCGAAUAA